GAUGAAGAACGUAGCGAAAUGCGAUAAGUAAUGUGAAUUGCAGAAUUCAGUGAAUCAUCGAAUCUUUGAACGCACAUUGCGCCCGCCAGAAUGCUGGCGGGCAUGCCUGUUCGAGCGUCAUUUCAACCCUCAAGCUCUGCUUGGUGUUGGGGCCCUACGGUUGACGUAGGCCCUUAAAGGUAGUGGCGGACCCUCUCGGAGCCUCCUUUGCGUAGUAACUAACGUCUCGCAUUGGGAUUCGGAGGGACUCUUGCCGUAAAACCCCCAAAUUUUCUAAUGGUUGACCUCGGAUCAGGUAGGAAUACCCGCUGAACUUAAGCAUAUCAAUAAGCGGAGGA
rnacentral:misc_RNA from 1 species